GAUGAACGCUGGCGGCGUGCCUAAUACAUGCAAGUCGAACGAACGGACGAGAAGCUUGCGUCUCUGAGGGUAGCGGGGGACGGGAGAUUCACACGGGGAUAACCUACCUAUAAGACUGGGAUGAUAACGGGAAACCGGAUCUAAUACCGGAUAAUAUUUUGAACCGCAUGGUUCAAAAGUGAAAGACGGUCUUUGUGUCACUAAUAGAUGGAUCCGCGCUGGAUUAGCUAGUUGGUAAGGUAACGGCUUACCAAGGCAACGAUGCAUAGCCGACCUGAGAGGGUGAUCGGCCACACGGGAAGUGAGACACGGUCGCGACUCCUGCGGGAGGCAGCAGUCGGGAAUCUUCCGCAAUGGGCGAAAGGCUGACGGAGCAAAGCCGCGUGAGUGAUGAAGGCCUUCGGAUCGUAAAGCUCUGUUGUUAGGGGAGAACAAAUGUGUAAUUACCUGUGCACAUCUUGACGGUACCUAAUCAGAAAGCCACGGCUAACUACGUG
rnacentral:rRNA from 1 species